rnacentral:rRNA from 1 species
UACGUAGGGGGCGAGCGUUGCCCGAAUUUACUGGGCGUAAAGCGCACGUAGGCGGCUCCGUAAGUCUGGUGUGAAAUCUCACGGCUCAACCGAGAGGCUGCUCCAGAUACUGCGGGGCUCGAGGACGGGAGAGGAGAUUGGAAUUCCCGGUGUAGCGGUGAAAUGCAUUGAUAUCGGGAGGAACCCCAGUGGCGAAGGCGGAUCUCUGGCCCGUUGCUGACGCUGAGGCGAGAAAGCUGGGGGAGCGAAAGGG